rnacentral:misc_RNA from 1 species
CGGCCCUCGCCUUGUCGUUUCUAGCUGAUCAAUCAACUCCAUCGCUUUUACCUUUGGUGCCCCACUAACAGUGCCAACAGGUAGUGCAGCACGCAAUGCAUCCCACGUAGUUAAAUGAUCAAGCAACUCUCCAGUGACCGUUGAGCUGAAUAUCGCUCAAUAUCCAUCAGCCUUUCAACUUUCACAGAACCAGCUUUGGAGACCUUUCCCACAUCGUUCCUUCCCAAGUCAACUAGCAUAAUGUGUUCUGCAC